rnacentral:sRNA from 1 species
GUUUAACAUUACAGAUAUCCUUAACAUAUAUAUGUGCGUAUAUAUAUAUAUGUGCAGAGUAGAUAUCUGGGAAGACACACACUAAACUCUUUACAAAGGUUCAUGCUAAGGACUGGGAUUGGGGGCCAGGUGGUUAAAUAGAGGAUAAGGAGAUGAUUUAUGUAUCAGUUAUAUUUUUUAUAAUCAAUCUAUAUUAUCUUAAAACUAAUUUUUAAAACAAAAACACCUUAAAACUUUCUUCAUAAAUACUUUAUGACAAUUUUACUUAUUUUGGAACUAAAAAUUAUAAUUAGAAAGUCAUCAUUAUUGCUUUGAACUGUUGAAAGGGUAGUUGAUCAUAUGAAGUGGGAUUUUUCCCCCGCUGUCAUGAAAAUGUUUGUCAAGUUCCUCCAGCAAAGCCCAGCACAGAGUUGUUGUUCAGUAAUCGUUAAUUAUCUCUUUCUACCACAAAACCAGAAGCAAUGAGAACUAAUCUCUAUCCCAGAUGAAAGUAACUUGUAGCUUGUGGAAUAUUAUAAAAUCAUCAGGUUUUAUCAAUCAGGUGAACGCUUCACCUUAAACUACAAAUUCACCCCCAUUCUCCACUGCUUUUCAUCUUAUAUUCAUUCUCAAGAUUUUUUCCUUCUAAGGGGUCGUCUUCUAUUCAGUCUUAGAACACCUGCAUUCAUAGGGCCUUUUUGUAAUAGCCUGGUGCUUUUAAGGCAUCUAAAAGAUCUUAUCGUUAUAAUUCUGUUGUUAUCAACUUUCACGUUGGUUUUUUUAAUCUGCGCCUGGAAAGUUAGAUUUUUAGAAUUUACUUUAUUCAUUUAUUUAUUUAUUUAUUUAUUUAGAGACGGGGUCUCGCUCUGUUGCCAAGGCUGGAGUGCAGUGGAACGAUCUUGGCUCACUGCAACCUCCACCUCCUGGGCUCAAGCGAUCCUCCACCCUCAGCCUCCCAAGUAGCUGGGACUACCGGCACACACCACCACGCCUGGCUAAUUUUUUUGUAUUUUUGUAGAGACAAGGUUUCACUAUGUUGCCCAGGCUGGCCUCGAACUCCGGGGCUCAAGCAGUCUUCCCACCUCGGCCUCCCAAAGUGCCGGGAUUACGGGCAUGAGCCACUGCACCCAGCCUAGAAUUUACAUUUUAAACUGUUUAUUCUAACUCUUUUGCCCUUCUCUUCUGCCAGUGAAUAUGAUUGUUUCUUCAUGUAAAAAGAUGUUUUAUUCCAGUUGACUACGACUGAGAAGCCACUGAGAAAGCCACCUUCCAGACUAAAAAAACUCAAGAUCAAAAAGGAAGUGAAGGAUUUCACAAUGAAGGACAUCGAGGAGAAGAUGGAGGCUGCCGAGGAGCGCAGGAAGACUAAAGAAGAAGAAAUAAGAAAAAGGCUAUGGAGUGACCGACUUUUGCCUUCAGCCAAUCAUUCAGAUUCAGCUGAAUUAGGAGGGGCCGAGGUUGCAUUUUCCAAAGGACUUCAAAGGGUGAGGUCUGCUGGAUUUGAACCAUCUGACCUGCAGGGAGGAAAACCAUUGAAGAGGAAGAAGAGUAAAAGUGAUGCAACCUUGAAUGACAUAAACGAAAGUGAUGAAAGUUUUGGGGUCGUGGAGUCAGACAUGUCCUACAACCAAGCAGAUGACAUAGUCUACUAAGCCAUUUUUUGUGAAUUUCAUAAGAAAGCAUUCAUUCUCCCCGUUUGUGAAAUUUGUAGUAUGUCUCAUAAUCUUUGACUGACCUCAUUCCACUGGGAUUUCUGCCUUGGGCUUAAGAAUGAUUGUGUGGGCUGCACAGGCUGAAGGUUAGCUGAGUAAAUUAAGUAGCUAUGCUAGUUUUUAAAAAAAGAGCGAGGGGGAGACUUGACCAGCAUAGAUAUUUGGCACUCUCCUUUGUGUGGCUUCAAACAUUAUGGAGAUGUCUUUAAUUUAUAAGUGCCUUCAGUUCACAUUAAUAAGUUCGUGCCAAAUGAAAUCCUUCCUGUUUACUCCUGCCUUGUGGCGGGGUCCAUCCUCUGCUGGUCCUUUAAAACAAAUUGCAUGGAUUUGUAUUAAGUAUUUUAAUGGUUUAUAUGUUUUUUAUGCUGUAUGUCUAUGGUUUUAUAAAUUUUUUUCUCUGUGUUGUGAAGGAAUAAAGCAAUGU